CCUACGGGUGGCAGCAGUCGAGAAUCAUUCACAAUGGGGGAAACCCUGAUGGUGCGACGCCGCGUGGGGGAAUGCAGGUCUUCGGAUUGUAAACCCCUGUCAUGUGGGAGCAAAUUAAAAAGAUAGUACCACAAGAGGAAGAGACGGCUAACUGUGUGCCAGCAGCCGCGCUAAUACAGAGGUCUCAAGCGUUGUUCGGAAUCACUGGGCGUAAAGCGUUCGUAGGCUGGUUGGUAAGUCGUGUGUGAAAGGUGCGGGCUCAACCCUCGGACGGCAACUGGUACUGCGAGACUAGAGUAAUGGAGGGAGAACCAGACUUCUCGGUUGAGCAGUGGA
rnacentral:rRNA from 1 species